GGUGUUGCUGGCCUUGGAGGUGUCCUAGGGGGUGCCGGGCAGUUCCCACUUGGAGGAGUGGCAGCGAGACCCGGCUUCGGAUUGUCUCCCAUUUUCCCAGGUGCGGCCUGCCUGGGGAAAUCUUGUGGCCGGAAGAGAAAAUGAGCUUCCCAGGACCCCUGACUCACGACCUCAUCAACGUUGGUGCUACUGCUUGGUGGAGAAUGUAAACCCUUUGUAACCCCAUCCCAUGCCCCUCCGACUCCCCACCCCAGGAGGGAACGGGCAGGCCGGGCGGCCUUGCAGAUCCACAGGGCAAGGAAAUAAGAGGGGAGCGGCCAAGUGCCCCGACCAGGAGGCCCCCUACUUCAGAGGCAAGGGCUGUGUGGUCCUGGCCCCCGACCCCAUCCAUUCCCACCUAGGAGCUCCCCCUCCACACAGCCUCCAUCUCCAGGGAAACUUGGUGCUACACGCCGGUGCUCUUAUCUUCCUGGGGGAAGGGAGGAGGGAAGGAUGGCCCCUCGGGGAACCCCCUCCCUGGGACUCCUCUAAAGAUGGUGCAGACACUUCCUGGGCAGUCCCAGCUCCCCCUGCCCACCAGGACCCACCCUUGGCUGCCGUCCAGUUGGUACCCAAGCACCUGAAGCCUCAAAGCUGGAUUCGCCCAUAGCAUCCCUCCUCUCCUGCGUCCACUUGGCCGUCUCCUCCCCACCGAUCGCUGUUCCCCACAUCUGGGGCACCUUUGGGUUGGAAAACCACCCCACACUGGGAAUAGCCACCUUGCUCUUGUGGAAUCCAUCCGCCCAUCCGUCCAUUCACCCAUCCGUCCAUCCAUCCAUGUCCCCAUUGACCGCCCGGCACCACUAGCUGGCUGGGUGCACCCACCAUCAACCUGGUUGACCUGUCAUGGCAGCCUGUGCCCUGCCUCCACCCCCAUCCUACACUCCCCCAGGGUGUGCAGGGCUGUGCAGACUGGGGUGCUAGGCAUCUCCUCCCCACCUGGGGUGUCCCCACAUGCAGUACUGUAUCCCCCUCAUCCCUCCCUCCGUCCACUGAACUUCAGAGCAGUUCCCACUCCUGCCCCGCCCAUCUUUUUGUGUCUCGCUGUGAUAGAUCAAUAAAUAUUUUAUUUUUUGUCCUGGA